GGAUUCCCCUAGUAGCGGCGAGCGAAGCGGGAAAAGCUCAAAUUUGUAAUCUGGCGUCUUCGACGUCCGAGUUGUAAUCUCGAGAAGUGUUUUCCGUGAUAGACCGCAUACAAGUCUCUUGGAACAGAGCGUCAUAGUGGUGAGAACCCAGUACACGAUGCGGAUGCCUAUUACUUUGUGAUACACUUUCGAAGAGUCGAGUUGUUUGGGAAUGCAGCUCAAAUUGGGUGGUAAAUUCCAUCUAAAGCUAAAUAUUGGCGAGAGACCGAUAGCGAACAAGUACCGUGAGGGAAAGAUGAAAAGCACUUUGGAAAGAGAGUUAACAGUACGUGAAAUUGUUGGAAGGGAAACACAUGCAGUGAUACUUGCUAUUCGGGGCAACUCGAUUGGCAGGCCCGCAUCAGUUUUUCGGGGCGGAAAAUCGUAGAGAGAAGGUAGCAGUUUCGGCUGUGUUAUAGCUCUUUACUGGAUUCGCCCUGGGGGACUGAGGAACGCAGCGUGCUUUUAGCAUGAGCUUCGGCUUAUCCACGCUUAGGAUGCGGGUUUAUGGCUGUAUAUGACCCGUCUUGAAACACGGACCAAGGAGUCUAACAUGCUUGCGAGUAUUUGGGUGUCAAACCCGGAUGCGCAAUGAAAGUGAAUGGAGGUGGGAAGCGCAAGCUGCACCAUCGACCGAUCUGGAUUUUUUAAGAUGGAUUUGAGUAAGAGCAAGUAUGUUGGGACCCGAAAGAUGGGUGAACUAUGCCCUGAAUAGGGCGAAGCCAGAGGAAACUCUGGUGGAGGCUCGUAGCGGUUCUGACGUGCAAAUCGAUCGUCAAAUUUGGGUAUAGGGGCGAAAGACUAAUCGAACCAUCUAGUAGCUGGUUCCUGCCGAAGUUUCCCUCAGGAUAGCAGAAACUCACAUCAGUUCUAUGAGGUAAAGCGAAUGAUUAGAGGCCUUGGGGUUGAAACAACCUUAACCUAUUCUCAAACUUUAAAUAUGUAGGAAGCCCUUGCUACUUAAUGAGCGAGGGCA
rnacentral:rRNA from 1 species